CAACUUCCACCUGGCAUACCUCUUCAGUUUUGCGUCAAGGCUUGUAUCGUCUUGAGCGUAUUGUGGGUUUCUGUAUUGCAUACCUAGUUGAUGGUAUCGUUUUGGUUGAUCGAAGUCCCUUUUCAUCUUGUGUUGCAUUUGUUACGCAGGAUGAACCUCAAAGUAGUCUUUAUGAUCCAUCAUGUUGAUGUACAUGUAUUGAUGUUGUGGGUCAUUGAGCGUUGCUUGGUAUCCUAGAUACGGAACAUGAUGUAGGCAUGGGGUCUUUUAUGGAUCUUGUUUUGUCCUCGUUCAGCGUUCUUUAAAACGACAGUUCAUGCGCGCCUAGGCUCGUACCUGCGUGAUGUUCUUUGUCGAAAAGGAAUGCUACCUGGUUGAUCCUGCCAGUAGUCAUAUGCUUGUCUCAAAGAUUAAGCCAUGCAUGUGUAAGU
rnacentral:misc_RNA from 1 species